CGCCGCCGCCGCCGCCUUCCUGGGCCCUCGCUUUGCCAGCGCCGCCGCGAUUAGCCGGGUCUGGAAAGAUGGCCUCCUCGGAGCAGGCUGAGCAACCUGGGCAGAUCAGCUCGUCUGGAACGGAGAAUGGAGCAUCGCGCGAGGCCCUGAUUGCCACAGCAGUGAAGUUUUUACAAAACCCGCGAGUUCGCCAAAGCCCACUUUCAAAUAGAAGAACAUUU